rnacentral:rRNA from 1 species
AUUGAACGCUGGCGGCAGGCCUAACACAUGCAAGUCGAAUGGUAACAGGAAACAGCUUGCUGUUUCGCUGACGAGUGGCGGACGGGUGAGUAAUGUCUGGGAAACUGCCUGAUGGAGGGGGAUAACUACUGGAAACGGUAGCUAAUACCGCAUAACGUCGCAAGACCAAAGAGGGGGACCUUCGGGCCGCUUGCCAUCAGAUGUGCCCAGAUGGGAUUAGCUAGUAGGUGGGGUAACGGCUCACCUAGGCGACGAUCCCUAGCUGGUCUGAGAGGAUGACCAGCCACACUGGAACUGAGACACGGUCCAGACUCCUACGGGAGGCAGCAGUGGGGAAUAUUGCACAAUGGGCGCAAGCCUGAUGCAGCCAUGCCGCGUGUAUGAAGAAGGCCUUCGUGUUGUAAAGUACUUUCAGCGGGGAGGAAGGGAGUAAAGUUAAUACCUUUGCUCAUUGACGUUACCCGCAGAAGAAGCACCGGCUAACUCCGUG